AAAGAUAGAGGCGCGGUUUUAAAGAGUAAGGCUUGAUGUAAGGCUGGACAGGUUGUCAGGUCAGAAAGGUAGAACCGCCGAAGAAUUGCUUUCUUGUCCGGAAAGUUUUUCUGGGACGCAGCAGAAUAUGCGGCGUACUGUCACAGAUGUGGAGCGCUAUCA
rnacentral:ncRNA from 1 species